rnacentral:misc_RNA from 1 species
UACGUAGGAUCCGAGCGUUAUCCGGAAUCACUGGGCGUAAAGAGUUGCGUAGGUGGCAUGUUAAGCGAGCAGUGAAAUCUUAUGGCUCAACCAUAAGGCUAUUGCUUGAACUGGCAAGCUAGAGUUUGGUAGAGGUAACUGGAAUUCCAAGUGUAGGAGUGAAAUCCGUAGAUAUUUGGAGGAACACCGAUGGCGUAGGCAGGUUACUGGACCAACACUGACACUAAGGCACGAAAGCGUGGGUAGCAAACGGG